rnacentral:sRNA from 1 species
GGCCCGGGCUUUGCCUUGACGGGGGGCGGGAGUCUCUUUAGACUCAUGCACCCCUAAAUUUGGCAGGGCGUUGCGCUCUGCCAUUUUGUUUAUGUCGAAAGACAACAGUGGAGCUAGUAGA